rnacentral:rRNA from 1 species
AUUGAACGCUGGCGGCAGGCCUAACACAUGCAAGUCGCCCUAGUGGCGGACGGGUGAGUAAUGUCUGGGAAUCUGCCCGCUGGAGGGGGAUAACUACUGGAAACGGUAGCUAAUACCGCCUACCCUCCGAUGUGCCCACAUGGGAUUAGCUAGUUGGUGGGGUAACGGCUCACCUGGGCGACGAUCCCUACCUGGUCUGAGAGGAUGACCAGCCACACUGGAAGUGAGACACGGGCCAGACUCCUACGGGAGGCAGCAGUGGGGAAUAUUGCACAAUGGGCGCAAGCCUGAUGCAGCCAUGCCGUGUGUAUGAAGAAGGCCUUCGGGUUGUAAAGUACUUUCAGCGGGGAGGCGGUACCCGCAGAAGAAGCACCGGCUAACUCCGUGCCAGCAGCCGCGGUAAUAC